UUACGGUCUUACCCCGUUGAAACACCGGUUCUUGUACGAUCACCGAAGUUAAGCAACGUCGAGCCUGGUUGGUACCUAAAUGGGUGACCACUUGGGAAUACCAAGUGCUGUAA
rnacentral:rRNA from 1 species